AGACAGUGUGCAUCAGUCAAUCGAAGCUCUGUUGUUUGUUUUUAAAUGCCUAGCUUAGUUACAGGGUUUGCGUGAAUUUUUAGGUUUCAAACCGUGAGGAAAUGUCAUAACAGUUGGUUAUCUUUCAGAUGGGGCAUGUUCAACCUAUGCUGAAACUUGAGAGUCUCUUCUGCCUGUUCUUUCUUCAUCCGUUUGGUAGUUCCUGCUGUUGUACACAGCACGUAGGAUUAUUGAUUGAACUGGGUCUUGAAGAGAAUGUUACUGGUUUCACUCGUUUUAAUUAUCCAAAGGGAGAGUAAGAUAAGUAAAGAGAAAACAUAAACACUGCUGUUGAAGAGAGAGGAAAAACCACAGUUCAUCAGGUUAGAGCUGUUUUGGGUGCAUGUCCUCCAUGUACUCCUCCUCUAGCAGGUGAUAGCUUCUUAAAUUGUACUUGUACGAACCUGAGCCCAGAUCCUGGAAUGAAUUUUUUGUGGCUGGAAUCCCUGAAAUCUAUGAAGCGGAUUGCUACCAGGGGUCCACUAACUAACUCAUUGUUAAGACCAGGUCUGUGGUGAAGCAGCACCUAAGCAAAAACUUAAUGUGGUUGUGAUAUUGGAACACGUGCUGCAGAAGCGUGAUCCAGUGGCUUUAACUCACUGCAAAUCCACUCUUCAAAGGGAUAGUAUAAAUAAAACCAUCAUCACCCUUGCCCCUUUCUAAAACAAGAUGGACCGCUGUAGUCAA